UACAGAGGGGGCAAGCGUUGUUCGGAAUUACUGGGCGUAAAGGGCUCGUAGGCGGCCCGCUAAGUCGGACGUGAAAUCCCCGAGCUCAACUCGGGAACUGCGUCCGAUACUGGUGGGCUUGAAUCCGGGAGAGGGAUGCGGAAUUCCAGGUGUAGCGGUGAAAUGCGUAGAUAUCUGGAGGAACACCGGUGGCGAAGGCGGCAUCCUGGACCGGCAUUGACGCUGAGGCGCGAAAGCUAGGGGAGCAAACGGG
rnacentral:rRNA from 1 species